rnacentral:rRNA from 1 species
ACGAACGCUGGCGGCGUGCUUAACACCUGCAAGUCGAACGGAAAGGCCCUGCUUUUGUGGGGUGCUCGAGUGGCGAACGGGUGAGUAACACGUGAGUAACCUGCCCUUGACUUUGGGAUAACUUCAGGAAACUGGGGCUAAUACCGGAUAGGAGCUCCUGCUGCAUGGUGGGGGUUGGAAAGUUUCGGCGGUUGGGGAUGGACUCGCGGCUUAUCAGCUUGUUGGUGGGGUAGUGGCUUACCAAGGCUUUGACGGGUAGCCGGCCUGAGAGGGUGACCGGCCACAUUGGGACUGAGACACGGCCCAGACUCCUACGGGAGGCAGCAGUGGGGAAUAUUGCACAAUGGGCGGAAGCCUGAUGCAGCAACGCCGCGUGCGGGAUGACGGCCUUCGGGUUGUAAACCGCUUUCGCCUGUGACGAAGCGUGAGUGACGGUAAUGGGUAAAGAAGCACCGGCUAACUACGUG